UACGUAGGGUGCGAGCGUUGUCCGGAAUUACUGGGCGUAAAGAGCUCGUAGGUGGUUUGUCGCGUUGUUCGUGAAAACCGGGGGCUUAACCCUCGGCGUGCGGGCGAUACGGGCAGACUUGAGUACUGCAGGGGAGACUGGAAUUCCUGGUGUAGCGGUGGAAUGCGCAGAUAUCAGGAGGAACACCGGUGGCGAAGGCGGCCCGCUGGGCAACUGCUGACACUGAGGCGCGACAGCGUGGGGAGCAAACAGG
rnacentral:rRNA from 1 species